CUCGUUCAACCAGACGCUCGGCUGUCUCCGUAAAUCUUCGACAAACUAUCUGUUUGUUGGAGAUUAACAGAGACAGCCGAGCGUCUGGUUGAAUGAGC
rnacentral:pre_miRNA from 1 species